UGUCCUAGCAGAGUAACCACAGAUUAGUUCAUCACAACAUCACACGUCCCAACAACAUUUAACAUCUAGAAGGUGUCCAAAUACCAUUUGUCUUAAUUUUGAACAAAGUUGUAUUUAUGUAUUUUGAAACGUAUUUUUGCACAGAAAUAUGCCCUUCAGUGUGUCCUGUUGCAUUCUCCAGCCUCCUGUCACUCCACAGUACUGGAAGUGAAACCCUGCUGGUGGCACCGGCCAUCUCCCCCACAGUUUCCUAGCAAAGGAUGACAACAACGGCGUGGGCGAGUAGAAUAACAGGAUACAAACUUUGCACUUGUGGGCAGUGGACAGGGUUGACUCGACAUCCAACGUGAGCUUUGGCUCGCAUUCAGCUGAGAUUUGGAACGAGAACUGAUGGAUAGCCCUGUCUCCAUAACCCAUAAAUAAUCAAGACUUUCAGUACCUAGGCAUGAACUACCGUGGAGUAAACAGGGAUUUACUAACCGUGAAAAGGAAAUCUCAACACCGUUUAACAGUUCACUGUAUUUCUGAACAGGGCUGCUUUCAACAGGAUGUGGCACUCUCUAAAGGGGGUUUAGAGAAGUCAAAAGCUGCUCUCGCUCCCUGAAACAAGACCCUGCCAUGCAAAAGCGAAAGACUCUUCCUCAGAGGCUGUGUAUCCACCCACUGUCCUCUCCCAUGGCCUUGACUCACCAUGUCCAGCAGCCUCCACUUCCCAGUGAUGGGGCGUUCUGUACACCAAGAGGAAGCAUUGCAUGUAUUUAUAGACAUUUCUCGUAUGAGAAGUCUGAACAAUAACAAACCCCCACCCCCACAGCCACUUCACCACCACAACACAAAAUAAGGUAAGGAGGGGUGGCUCGCAAGUGAGUGCUGAUAAAAUCAAACUUUAGUUUCGCUGUUCGAUGAUGACAGGAAAAUAAAACUGAGAGCACUGCACUCUUGUUACAGUUUACAAGGUGGUUUUGACAGCUAACAUAGAAUUGGGUGAUUUCAGUGUGACAGUAAUCAGGGAAAAAACUGGGCUAUCAUGCAGUUUUGGUGCCUGCAUUAUCAGCUCAAUUUAUCUUAGAUAAAAAAAUAAAAUAAAAAAAACCUUGGUUACAUAUAUCAACAACUGUUUAUAUAUCGUUGAAGAACAUUAAGAAUUAAUAGUUGUUCAAACACUUGCCAUGAAUAUGGUGCACUCUGCUGCUUUGCAACUUUUUAAAGCAUUAUAGACACAAAUUCAUUUUUUAUUUAUUUAUUUUUUGAAGAAGUGUUAGAUUAUUAUCUAACAUAAAAUUAGCCUAUCAUGAAAAAAAAGGUAGUUUUAAACAUCAAAUAUCUGUAUCCUCCCUCAUUUUGUCCUGUCACACUUCAAAGGUCUUGGCCAUUUCGACUGUACAGUCAAACCAAAAAUUAUUCAGACAUCUUUGAUAUUUUUGAUAUAUUUUUACUAGUGGGUGCAGGACACUAUAGUUAAUUUAUGUAAAGUAAACUGAUAAAAAAAUAAAGUAAACUGUGACAUAUUAUACACAAAAAUUCUAAAAAAAAAAAUUGUAAAAUUGAUUAAAAAAUUCUGAACCAAAAAUUAUUCAGACACUUUGACCUGACCAUGUUUUGCUUAAGUGUUAUCUGACAUAAUUAAGAUUAAUUUUUUCUGACACAGUUUAACUCUGAGAUUUUGUCAUACCAUUUUUUAAACUAUAGUGAAUAAACUGUAUUAAUGAAUGAAAUGUUCAAGAUGUCUGAAUACAGUGGGUACGGAAAGUAUUCA